CAUCCAUUUUCUAACCCGCUUGUGCUGGAGCUUGAGACGUCUGCACUGAUUUGUAGGUCGCUUCAAAUAAAACCCAUCCGCCAAUCAAUUUCAGGGUCCAGGAGGUCAGCAUCGGGAGCAAAGCAGAAACCUGCCCUGGCUGGGGUUGCAUUUUACCUAGGCUGGCCUUGAACUGGCAGCUUGACCAUCUCAGGUUACAAAGAAGAGGUGGUAUAGCUGCAGCUGGAAUGGCAACAUUCGAGAUUUGCUUAGGACAACAUGAUUAAAUACUGUCUCACACGUGCGAUUAGGAGGCAGCCAACAAGCCCAGAGAAUUUAUGAAGAAAAAUAAUAAACCAACUCACUCACUGAGUCUUCUGGAUUCCCAAAAUGGCUCCUCUUCCGAUUCAUCAUUUCCGCCUCCAACUCCCACAGACAAUGUCACCUCCGGAUGCUCAUUGAUGACAUCACUUCCGGCCUCAUUUGAAGACAUCACUUCUACAUCCAGCACAUCUGGCCACACCCUGAUGACAUCACUUCUGGUCUCACAGUUAUGACAUAAUUUACACCAAUACUUUCUUCCGGUUGCCAUUUUGUAUAGAUAUAACCUUCCAAUGUCGUGUAUUAUCAAAUGUUAUGCUUUUGAUCAUCCUUUUGCAACUUUUUUUUUCCAUUGAAGAUCGCUGACAUUAUACAGGGACAACUCCCCAACUCUUAUUUUUGUCUCAAGUGAGAUUUAUUAUCUUACAAUACAUAUACAUACAUUCUCAAACUGACUUAAUCCAAUUCAGGGUUGAGGGAGAUCAAC